rnacentral:rRNA from 1 species
ACGAACGCUGGCGGCGUGCCUAAUACAUGCAAGUCGAGCGGAAUGAUGAAGAAGCUUGCUUCUUCUGAUUUUAGCGGCGGACGGGUGAGUAACACGUGGGCAACCUACCUUGUAGAUUGGGAUAACUCCGGGAAACCGGGGCUAAUACCGAAUAAUCCAUUUUGCUUCAUGGCGAGAUGUUGAAAGACGGUUUCGGCUGUCACUAUAAGAUGGGCCCGCGGCGCAUUAGCUAGUUGGUAGGGUAAUGGCCUACCAAGGCGACGAUGCGUAGCCGACCUGAGAGGGUGAUCGGCCACACUGGGACUGAGACACGGCCCAGACUCCUACGGGAGGCAGCAGUAGGGAAUCUUCCACAAUGGACGAAAGUCUGAUGGAGCAACGCCGCGUGAGUGAAGAAGGUUUUUCGGAUCGUAAAACUCUGUUGUAAGGGAAGAACACGUACGAGAGUAACUGCUCGUACCUUGACGGUACCUUAUUAGAAAGCCACGGCUAACUACGUG